GUCGUUUCAAUGAUGAGAAAUCUUUUAUUAUUACAGUUAUCCCUGUCUUAACACAUUAUGUCGAGAUUUUCUACUCUGAAAGAAUC
rnacentral:snoRNA from 1 species